AACCUGCCCAAUGAAGAUAAAAUUUGAAUGGCCGCAGUAUUUUGACUGUGCAAAGGUAGCAUAAUCAUUAGUCUUUUAAUUGAAGGCUGGAAUGAAUGGUUGGACGAAAUAUUAACUGUUUCAUAAAAAUUUUUAUUAGAAUUUUAUUUUUUAGUAAAAAAGCUAAAAUUUAUUUAAAAGACGAGAAGACCCUAUAAAUCUUUAUAUUUAAAUUAUAAUAAUUUUUUAGAAUUAUUUUAUUGUUAUUAUUAAUAAUAUUUUAUUGGGGUGAUAUUAAAAUUUAAUAAACUUUUAAUUAUUAUUUUUCAUUAAUUUAUGAAUGAAUGAUCCGUUAUUAACGAUUAAAAAAUUAAGUUACUUUAGGGAUAACAGCGUAAUUUUUUUGGAGAGUUCAUAUCGAUAAAAAAGAUUGCGACCUCGAUGUUGGAUUAAGAUAUAAUUUUAGGUGUAGCCGCUUAAAUUUUAAGUCUGUUCGACUUUUAAAUUCUUACAUGAUCUGAGUUCAAACCGGCGUAAGCCAGGUUGGUUUCUAUCUUUAAAAU
rnacentral:rRNA from 2 species